rnacentral:rRNA from 1 species
UACAGAGGUCUCAAGCGUUGUUCGGAAUCACUGGGCUUAAAGGGCGCGUAGGCGGGCGGUCAAGUCAGGGGUGAAAUCUUUCGGCCCAACCGGAAAAGUGCCUUUGAUACUGACUGUCUCGAGGGAGGUAGGGGCGUGCGGAACUUUGGGUGGAGCGGUGAAAUGCGUAGAUAUCCAAAGGAACACCGGUGGCGAAAGCGGCGCGCUGGACCUCUUCUGACGCUGAGGCGCGAAAGCCAGGGGAGCAAACGGG